GACGCGAAAUUCUCAUUGGUCAGAUGCUAUAAUUUAUAUUAUUCCGCUGAGCUCUAUAUAUGUCAACUGUUGAAACACUAUGCAUAAAAAACACAUUAACUGAUCAAAUUGGUCUUGGCCAUCUUAUCUCAAAGCACGAAAUGUUCUGUUUUGAGAAAACAGUAUUUAAAACAUUUAAACUUUUGCUUGAAUAUUUUAUAUUUCGAAAAACAGUAUAAACUGUACGGUCUAAAUUUAGUUUGCACGAAAGUUGUAAACAACACCAUAUAAGGAUAGACAUUCCAUAUUUGGAAAAACGAUCGUUACGGGGCAGAUAUUCAAAUUCAUUAGUCAUCGAUGCAGGCUCUCAAUUCGGCUUGAGAGCCUGUUCGCAGGCU